rnacentral:rRNA from 1 species
AUUGAACGCUGGCGGCAGGCCUAACACAUGCAAGUCGAGCGGAUGAAGGGAGCUUGCUCCUGGAUUCAGCGGCGGACGGGUGAGUAAUGCCUAGGAAUCAGCCUGGUAGUGGGGGAUAACGUCCGGAAACGGGCGCUAAUACCGCAUACGUCCUGAGGGAGAAAGUGGGGGAUCUUCGGACCUCACGCUAUCAGAUGAGCCUAGGUCGGAUUAGCUAGUUGGUGGGGUAAAGGCCUACCAAGGUGACGAUCCGUAACUGGUCUGAGAGGAUGAUCAGUCACACUGGAACUGAGACACGGUCCAGACUCCUACGGGAGGCAGCAGUGGGGAAUAUUGGACAAUGGGCGAAGGCCUGAUCCAGCCAUGCCGCGUGUGUGAAGAAGGUCUUCGGAUUGUAAAGCACUUUAAGUUGGGAGGAAGGGCAGUAAGUUAAUACCUUGCUGUUUUGACGUUACCAACAGAAUAAGCACCGGCUAACUUCGUGCCAGCAGCCGAC